GUGCCAGCCGCCGCGGUAAUUCCAGCUCCAAUAGCGUAUAUUAAAGUUGUUGUGGUUAAAAAGCUCGUAGUUGAACCUUGGGCCUGGCUGGCCGGUCCGCCUCACCGCGUGCACUGGUCCGGCCGGGCCUUUCCCUCUGUGGAACCCCAUACCCUUCACUGGGCGUGGCGGGGAAACAGGACAUUUACUUUGAAAAAAUUAGAGUGCUCCAGGCAGGCCUAUGCUCGAAUACAUUAGCAUGGAAUAAUAAAAUAGGACGCGCGGUUCUAUUUUGUUGGUUUAUAGGACCGCCGUAAUGAUUAAUAGGGACAGUCGGGGGCAUCAGUAUUCAACUGUCAGAGGUGAAAUUCUUGGAUCAGUUGAAGACUAACUACUGCGAAAGCAUUUGCCAAGGAUGUUUUCAUUAAUCAGGAACGAAAGUUAGGGGGAUCGAAGACGAUCAGAUACCGUCGUAGUCUUAACCAUAAACUAUGCCGACUAGGGAUCGGACGGUGUUAUUCAUGACCCGUUCGGCACCUUACGAGAAAUCAAAGUGCUUGGGCUCCAGGGGGAGUAUGGUCGCAAGGCUGAAACUUAAAGAAAUUGACGGGAAGGGCACCACCAGGGGUGGAGCCUGCGGCUUAAUUUUGACUCAACACGGGGAAACUCACCAGGUCCAGACACAAUAAAGGAUUGACAGAUUGAGAGCUCUUUCUUGAUUUUGUGGGUGGUGGUGCAUGGGCGUUCUUAGGUUGGUGGGGUGACUUUGUCUGCUUAAUUGGCAUAAACGAACGAAGACCUUUAACCUGCUAAAUAAGCUCGCAUUGGCUCCGGCAAGGGCGCUGGGCUUCUUUAG
rnacentral:rRNA from 1 species